AAUAAAUCUCAGAACAUCUCAAACCCAAGGAGUCUGGGCUUUGCAGUAGAACUCAUCCUCAUCUUCCAACACAGAAUAAAUUUUCCUGACAUUAAUAUAGGAAUAGCAUCAACAUCAACAAAAAGGACAUCCACACAAAAACCCCAUCUGAAGGUCACCAGCAUCAAAGACCAAAGGCAGGUAAAUCCAUGAACAUGAGGGAAAACCAGUGCAAAAAGGCUGAAAACUCCAUGAUACCUGAUUUUCUUCAUGCCAUUUGUUGAAGAGAGUAUCCAUUCCCACUGUGUAUUCUUGGCAUCUGUGUCACAGAGGAGGUAUUUAUCUCCAACUAUCUGUGCUGGACUCUGGCAGGCAAGGAAGAUGCAGGCUUAUGGAUGAAUAUAAUAAAUAUGUAACCCCAAGGGUUUUCCAUCUUUUUCAAAGAA